rnacentral:misc_RNA from 1 species
UCCUGGUUAACCCAGGCAGUCUUGUUAGAGUUCCCGACCGAAUCGUUGGCAACUAACAAUAAGGGUUGCGCUCGUUGCGGGACUUAACCCAACACCUCACGGCACGAGCUGACGACAGCCAUGCAGCACCUAUAUAGAGACCCUUACGGGAAAUACCGUUUCCGGUAUCGUCCUCUACAUUUCGAGCCUGGGUAAGGUUCUUCGCGUUGCAUCGAAUUAAACCACAUGCUCCACUGCUUGUGCGGGCCCCCGUCAAUUCUUUUGAGUUUCACCCUUGCGAGCGUACUUCCCAGGCGGCAUACUUAACGCGUUAGCUCCGACACAGCCAGGGUUGAAUCUGACUACGCCUAGUAUGCAUCGUUUACGGCGUGGACUAC